rnacentral:tRNA from 1 species
GGCUGGUUAGCUUAGUUAGUUAGAGCGUGGUGCUGAUAACACCAAGGUCAUGGGUUCGUUCCCCAUUCAGUCC